rnacentral:rRNA from 1 species
AAUGCCGCGUGUGUGAAGAAGGCCUGCGGGUUGUAAAGCACUUUCAGCAGGGAAGAACAGCACGGAGCUAAUACCUCCGUGUCCUGACGUCACCUGAAGAAGAAGCACCGGCUAACUCCGUGCCAGCAACGUCGGUGACUGAGCGGGCUGGCAAGGCGCAUA